AGAUGCGGAUGAUAGAGUCAUGUGCGUGAGCUUGCGGUAGAGCACGCCCGCCGCCUCGCGCUGCUCCGAGUCCAGCAGCGCCAGCGACACCAGCAGCUUGCUGCGCACCACCUCGUCCGUCAGGUGUCUACUGCAGAUAUUUCAUCAAAUAAGGAUGAUGAAGAAAACUCUAUGCACACUACGGUUGUGUUGUUUUCCAGCAGUGACAAAUUCACUUUGAAUCAGGAUAUGUGUGUAGUUUGUGGCAGUUUUGGCCAAGGAGCAGAAGGAAGAUUACUUGCCUGUUCUCAGUGUGGUCAGUGUUACCAUCCAUACUGUGUCAGUAUUAAGAUCACUAAAGUGGUUCUUAGCAAAGGUUGGAGGUGUCUUGAGUGCACUGUGUGUGAGGCCUGUGGGAAGGCAACUGACCCAGGAAGACUCCUGCUGUGAGAUGAUUGUGACAUAAGUUAUCACACCUAGUGCCUAGACCCUCCAUUGCAGACAGUUCCCAAAGGAGGCUGGAAGUGCAAAUGGUUCUCUAGGGUUUGUUUGCCUUGUUAGUCUUUCAAGUUCAGAGCUUUUUCAUACCACUUUAGUUUUUAAAAAUUAGCCAUACCUAUUUAAUUGAAUAAUACACAUAUUCUAUGAUAGAUACCACUAAUCAGAAAAAUUUUCACAUACACAUUAAAUCAUU